GAUGAACGCUGACAGAAUGCUUAACACAUGCAAGUCUUUGGCGAAGCUGUGCUUGCACAGCCUAGCCAAGGCGGACGGGUGAGUAACGCGUAAGGAACUUGCCCUGCAGUCAGGGAUAACAGACGGAAACGACUGAUAAGACCUGGUAAAGUCAGGCGGACUCAUGUCCAGCCUGAUGAAAAGAGAUGCUGCAGGAGAGCCUUGCGUCCUAUUAGCUUGUUGGUGGGGUAACGGCCCACCAAGGCGAUGAUAGGUAGCCGGCCUGAGAGGGUGGGCGGCCACAAGGGGACUGAGAUACGGCCCUUACUCCUACGGGAGGCAGCAGUGGGGAAUAUUGGACAAUGGGGGCAACCCUGAUCCAGCAAUUCUGUGUGCACGAUGAAGGUUUUCGGAUUGUAAAGUGCUUUCAGCAGGGAAGAAAAAAUGACGGUACCUGCAGAAGAAGCGACGGCUAAAUACGUG
rnacentral:rRNA from 1 species